rnacentral:rRNA from 1 species
AGAGUUUGAUCCUGGCUCAGAACGAACGCUGGCGGCAUGCCUAACACAUGCAAGUCGAACGAGACCUUCGGGUCUAGUGGCGCACGGGUGCGUAACGCGUGGGAAUCUGCCCUUGGGUUCGGAAUAACAGCGAGAAAUUGCUGCUAAUACCGGAUGAUGACGUAAGUCCAAAGAUUUAUCGCCCAAGGAUGAGCCCGCGUAGGAUUAGCUAGUUGGUGAGGUAAAGGCUCACCAAGGCGACGAUCCUUAGCUGGUCUGAGAGGAUGAUCAGCCACACUGGGACUGAGACACGGCCCAGACUCCUACGGGAGGCAGCAGUGGGGAAUAUUGGACAAUGGGCGAAAGCCUGAUCCAGCAAUGCCGCGUGAGUGAUGAAGGCCUUAGGGUUGUAAAGCUCUUUUACCCGGGAUGAUAAUGACAGUACCGGGAGAAUAAGCCCCGGCUAACUCCGUG